rnacentral:tRNA from 1 species
GCCCCUGUAGCCCAAUUGGAAGUAGGCGCUUCACUUAGAUUGAAGAGGUUGUAGAUUCGAGUUCUACCAGGGGCA